GCCCUGCUAGCGCAAUGGUAGCGCGUAAGACUUCUACGAGAUGUAAUCGCAAUCUUAAGGCUGUGGGUUCGAGUCCCACGUAGGGUG